UACGGGGGGGGCUAGCGUUGUUCGGAAUUACUGGGCGUAAAGGGCUUGUAGGUGGCCAACUAAGUCAGACGUGAAAUCCCUCGGCUUAACCGGGGAACUGCGUCUGAUACUGGAUGGCUUGAGUGUGGGAGAGGGAUGCGGAAUUCCAGGUGUAGCGGUGAAAUGCGUAGAUAUCUGGAGGAACACCGGUGGCGAAGGCGGCAUCCUGGACCAUUACUGACACUGAAAAGCGAAAGCCAGGGGAGCAAACGGG
rnacentral:rRNA from 1 species